AAUAUUGGACAAUGGGGGCAGCCCUGAUCCAGCCAUGCCGCGUGUGUGAAGAAGGUCUUCGGAUUGUAAAGCACUUAAGUUGGGAGGAAGGGCUUUUGGUUAAUAACCUGAAGCUUUUACGUUACCAACAGAAUAAGCACCUGCUAACUCUGUGCCAGCAGCCGCGGUAAUACAGAGGGUGAAAGCGUUAAUCUGAAUUACUGGGCGUAAAGCGCGCGUAGGUGGUUCAGUAAGAUGGGUGUGAAAUCCCCGGGCUUAACCUGGGAACUGCUUUCAUAACUGCUGAGCUAGAGUACGGUAGAGGGUAGUGGAAUUUCCUGUGUAGCGGUGAAAUGCGUAGAUAUAGGAAGGAACACCAGUGGCGAAGGCGACUACCUGGACUGAUACUGACACUGAGGUGCGAAAGCGUGGGGAGCAAACA
rnacentral:rRNA from 1 species